rnacentral:rRNA from 1 species
GAUGAACGCUGACAGAAUGCUUAACACAUGCAAGUCUUUGGCGAAUCUGUGCUUGCACAGGCUAGCCAAGGCGGACGGGUGAGUAACGCGUAAAGAACUUGCCCUGCAGACAGGGAUAACAGACGGAAACGACUGAUAACACCUGAUACAGUUGCCGGCACGCAUGUGCCUGGCAAUGAAAAGAGAUGCUGCAGGAGAGCUUUGCGUCCUAUUAGCUUGUUGGUGAGGUGACGGCUCACCAAGGCGAUGAUAGGUAGCCGGCCUGAGAGGGUGAACGGCCCCAAGGGGACUGAGAUACGGCCCUUACUCCUACGGGAGGCAGCAGUGGGGAAUAUUGGACCAUGGGGGCAACCCUGAUCCAGCAAUUCUGUGUGCACGAAGAAGGUUUUCGGAUUGUAAAGUGCUUUCAGCAGGGAAGAAGAAAGUGACGGUACCUGCAGAAGAAGCGACGGCUAAAUACGUG